GCGGUUGGGUGUGGGUAGGUGAUAGUGGGGUGUAUUUUUUAUCUGUUGAAACUGGGAGGGGUUCCGUUUUUACCGAUACAAACCCUAGGCCAUUUCUGAAUGGUCUAGGGUAAAUACAAAGUUACACUUUUGAUGUACAGAAAUAAAUUAACGUAUGUUGUUGAAAAUGCCUACCAGUAUUGUUUUAAUGAGUGUGGUGAAAGUGGUUGAAUAAUUGUCGGGAACAGUUGGACGACAAAUUCCGCGAGCACAGCAGCGCUGGCGACUGUACAAGCGGGCCCGUCUGGGUCCGGUGGUGUAUCUGUAACUCUUGGCCGAAGACCCACCAAAAUGGGAGCGUUCGACUGCGGCGGAACGGACCGAGACGGACGGGGCGGGUCUCAGGGAAUGCAUAUGCCAGUACCUAGUCAAACCCGUGGUGGUUUACGGGUAUAUAAAAUUGUCGUACUUGGAGAUGGUGGUGUUGGAAAGUCAGCUUUGACGCUGCAGUUCGUGAAACACAGAUUUUUAGACUACCACGAUCCAACAAUAGAGGAUGCAUACCAGCAACAAGCAGUCAUCGAUGGUGAAGCAUCCCAGUUGGAUAUUUUGGACACAGCUGGACAAGUGGAAUUUACUGCCAUGAGAGACCAGUACAUGCGAUGUGGAGAAGGCUUCAUGAUUUGCUAUUCUGUUACUGACAGGCAUAGCUUUCAAGAAGCCGUGGAGUAUCGAAAAUUAAUCACGCGGGUCCGGGCUUCUGAAGACAUACCUUUAGUCCUUGUCGGAAACAAAUUUGAUCUUCAGCAUCAAAGAAAGGUGUCUCCAGAAGAGGGACAAGCACUGGCAUCACAAUUCGGCUGCCCAUUCUACGAGACGUCCGCGGCAGUAAGACAGUAUGUGGAUGACGCCUUUCACACUCUUGUACGUGAGAUCCGUCUAAAGGAACACGAACAUCACCACACCAACAACAAACUUCAUAAACAUAGUCGGUGGCGCAGGUUGCGUUCCAUAUUCACCAUCGUCUUUAAACGCCGGCGUAAUUACUCACCCUGAAAUGUCUAUGAUCUAUCUAUACAUCAAAAUGCUGGGGCCAGGAAACAACCAAGGAGCAUCAUAUGCCUACUAAAUGGUCUGGUCUGUCCACUAAAAUCAAAAGCAGCGGGAUUUAAAGAAGAAACUGCGAUGUUUUGGAAACUGGCCCUGCUUCCAUCUGGCGAGAGGUACCUACUCAGUUGGGUCCAUCAGAUAGAGCUAGUCUCCAUCCAUCAAGGUUCCGAAACGUCAUGGUUGCUUCUUUUAAACAAGGAUGAUGGAAAAAGUCCAGACAAUGAAUAAUUUUAAAUCACAUUUAGUUUAAGAUAAUCUCAACUGAAAUUAUAUAAUAUUUUAGCCAUCAUAUCACUUAUGUGGCUGUGAAAUGUGGACAUUUAAACAAAGGUAUAUGAGAACUGCAGAGAUGAAAUUCAUGAGAUGCAUAACAGAAUAAAGUUUUAUUAUAUUUUAGAAGAACGUGAUAUGGGCCUAAUAAAAAAUAGAUAAUUUUGCAGUUUAAACAAAACUGUUUAAUGUUAGACUGGAAAAAAAAAUCAGACACCCAGAACAACUUCUCGACUACAAACCUGUUGGAAAAUGGAAGACCUGGACAAUUAACCAAGAGACUACUAGUCAGUUAAAAUCUUGAGGUUGAAAGAAGUCGUCCAUUGGCCUAACUUUGUGACUAGAAGAAAAAGGAGAUGAAAUAUUGGAGUUCUUUAGAGGCUGUGAGGUCUGGCAGUCAAGAAACUGGAUUGAUUCUGUAAAAGAAAUACUGCUUCUUAACCUUCAGUUAAUUUUAUUCUAUAAUGUCACAUGAUUUUGUUUGUGUGGAGCUGUCUGCUCCAAGUGAAUCCAUAAAACAGAGGGAAAUAGAAAAGGUGAGAUAUGGGCGGAACAUUACAUGCCAGAGCCAGAAAAAAAAAGCAGCACUGAAUAUUUUAAUGAGACUAAAGUUUGAUUUGACGUUUUCACGGCGGUGAGUCCGAAAACGGCUGUCACCUGGGUUGUUGCGCCAUGUAGUCUGGUAGAAGUGAGAAGCCCUGAUGAUGGAGGCAGCAACAAUCUCUGAAACGUUGGUAAACUUCUGCCAGACUACGCGGUGCAACAAGCCAGAAGACGGCCAUCUUCAGACUAAAGUUUCUCAGAUUAUGGCCUGCUGUAAAUGUACAGGGUGAUCGGAACAGAAUUUCUAUCACAUGUAAAAGAGUAUUUAUUAGACGAUGAAAAUGUUAAUGUUCGCUUUCUAUUAGUCAUAACUCUUCAGUAAUACAAAAUGAAGUGGGAGUUUUACUGAUGAUAAGCAAGCAGAACUUUUUUGUUGCCACUGAAGUUCAUAAAACAUUUUAUAUGCAUUUCAACAAAGAUUUAUGCUUGGUAUAGUAAUUUUGUUGAGACAGUAUGUUGUGUUAGUUCCGCACAAAGGAAAAUGGUUGGUCGGCUGUGAGUGAGGAAAUAGAGCAGAUGAAGAUCUGUGUCUCUAGAAGUCCUAGCAGGACAGUACACAUCCACAUUUUCAUGUCAUUGUACAAUAAUUUCUAAAUGAUUUGUCAGGCAAGCCAACUGCAUAGCCUCCUUCAUCGCCUGACCUUACACUAAUGGGCAUUUUGUGGGGAUUUGUUAAGACAAAAUGUUCAAGCCACCUUUACCUAACAGACAAGAUUACUAAAGUCAUAACACACAUUAUACCUGGCAUGUUGCUUGUGUAUGGGAGGAGUGUAUCGAUGGGAUGUCUGUCGUGUCGCUGCUGGCAGCCGUACUGAACUGCCGUUAGCGUCAAAACAUUGUCUGGCUAUAUUAUUAUUAUUAUUUGUAAUUUAUUGAAAGUUAUAACAUUAAAGUUUUAUUGCCUUGGAA